UUUCGCCGCGAAUUCGCCCUUACGGUUACCUUGUUACGACUUCACCCCAGUUACCGGGCCUGCCUUCGACAGCUCCUCCCUUGCGGUUAGGCCACUGGCUUCGGGCAUUCCUGGCUCCCAUGGUGUGACGGGCGGUGUGUACAAGACCCGGGAACGUAUUCACCGCAGCAUUCUGAUCUGCGAUUACUAGCGAUUCCAGCUUCAUACAGCCGGGUUGCAGGCUGUAAUCCGAACUGGGACGCCUUUUUUGUGCUUUGCUCCCCCUCGCAGGUUCGCCUCACUCUGUUGGCGCCAUUGUAGCACGUGUGUAGCCCAGCCCAUAAGGGGCAUGAUGAUUUGACGUCGUCCCCGCCUUCCUCCGGGUUAUCCCCGGCAGUCCUUAACAGAGUGCCCAGCCUUGCUGCUGGCUACUGUAAGCAGGGGUUGCGCUCGUUGCGGGACUUAACCCAACAUCUCACGACACGAGCUGACGACAACCAUGCACCACCUGUCUCUGCUGUCCCGUAAGAAAGCCCGCAUUACCGGGCUGCCAGCAAGAUGU
rnacentral:rRNA from 1 species